GGCAUGGCCAGUUAGCUGACACUUACUUACAUAAAAACCUUGAGGAUUAGGCCCUAAAGGGCCAAUGGGUACCUGGGAACUUCUUUAGAUUCUAUUUUUCUCAGGUUACUUCAAUGUGUAUUUUCUAAAUAGCCAAUUAAGAUUUUGGUAUUUAAGGAAUCACACCAGAAUUGGCCCCGUGCCUCGGGUGUGGAGGCGGCACACACAGGUUAGAUGCUCACUGGGAGCUGGACAUGCCCCCAGGCUUACAAAGUCACAGGAGGGAUGGAUGGCCCAAGGGCAGCUGCCCCUCCCAGGGCCCCACGCAUGAGCUACAAUUGAGAGCAAGGGGAGCCACUGCACCAGCUGCUGGGCUGAGGGCCGGGCCUGGCUGCCAAGUUCAGGGAGAACAGCUGGAACCGGGCAGGAGGUCCCAGAAGAACACAGCUGAGGGCCUUAGUCCUCUGAAUAGGGUUGUCAGAUUUGGCAAAUAAAAAUUCAGAAUGCUC